AAAAACGGUGCGAAAUCAGUUUCUCUUCUUCCUCCAUUCUCGAUCACUCCGUCUCCUCUCUAGAAUCUCAUCUCAUCCUUCUGGGUUAGGCAAAAUCUCCUUUUGAAGCUAUGAUGAAGAUCAGAAGAGAAGAAGGCUUCAAGAGAAUGAUUGUUUCUGGAAAAAUCGAUGGUGGGAAUGAGCGUUCAACGGGAAGCUGACGAAGACGGCAAGAUCUCACGGGAAGAAGUUUCAGGUCACGGUGGAGAAGGAGACAUCAAGGAUUUUGUUGUAGAGCCUGAUUGGGAAGUUUUAUUGAAACUGAUUGGGAAGUUUUGUGAAUGUAAUGUCUUAUGUGUUGGACUUGUACAAAAGAAAAGCUACUUGUCCUUGGUGGAAAUGGGUUUGUGGGAUCACAUGUCUGUAAAGAAGCUUUAGAUUGCGGCUUAUCUGUCUCUAGCCUUA